GCCGCCAUCGUCUAGCGGCCUAGGACAUCUGGUUUUCAGCCAGAGAAUCGGGAGUUCGAAUCUCCCUGGCGGCA
rnacentral:tRNA from 3 species